rnacentral:lncRNA from 1 species
UGUAAAGAAAGUACACUGCGUACCUUUUGAAAGGCCUAGGAUUAGAUGCUUCCCAUCAGGUAAAAGAUUUGCCAAUAUCAUUACUGCAGAAAUGCAGGAGCUCGCUGCCUGUUACAGAGUUUUGAGAUCAAGUAAGAUUUAUCAUGUUUAUCUAAUGCUGUCCUGUUUUAGUUGUUCUCUUUUCAUUUGAUUUAAACAUAUCAAUUUUUAGGCCGUCUCUAUGAUUGAAACUAUAACUGCAUAAGCACACUCAAAUGGAUGUCAACAUCUAAAUCAGUAAUUCCUUUGGUGUUCAAAAGACUACUAAGCAUUCUCAGUGCAUAAAGUGGGACUAAUGUAUGGAUUCAGUGAGAACCCUCAUGUUUUUCUUUUUCGUUUUCGCCUUACUCACCAAUUGUAUCCUAAUUGGCCCAACCACAAGGGCGACACCAGGUGUACCGAACAAUUUCUCCAAUAUAUAUACCCUGAUUCUAAUUUGCACCAUGAAAUCGUGAAUCUUCCAGAUUCUUUUCUUGUUCUAAGUCAGUUCCAGGAUUACAUUGGCCUUCUAGACCAGAAGAGACAUAAUAAAGACCACCUGGCUUGCAUCCGAACUUCAAAAGCAAGUGACCAUUAAUAUUAAACAGAAGUCUCAAGGGAAAUUAAUAACAAGCGACCUAAGCACUAUCAAUGUAAUCCAUGUAUUACUUGAACAAACAAAAAGUCAUCGAGAAAACGAAAUAAUGUGUUCCGAGUUUUUCCAACAUCAUGCUCACCUCAAAUUUAUCAGGUAGCUUGACUAUGCCACAGACCAAAUUAAGUAGUUGCUCAUUUGAAGACAUUACUUGUGAACAAAUGUCUACAGCGGAGAGUGCUUCAAUUAAGCGAAGAAGCUGAUUAAGAACAUCAGACCUGGAGAAUCACAAAAUAUCAUUCAGUUUGUUUAGAAACAUCAUAAUACUGCACAUUGUUCAACACAUGAUAUCCACACUAAAGCUUCAAUCAGGCAUAUAAACAAAUCGUGUAGACCAUGAAAAGAGAAAGGGAUUAGAGAGAAAACUAAUUUCACAAUUUAAAACAUUCCAGGCAAAAUCUUUGACUUGAUAUUAAAAUUAUAAUGUAUAUGGGGGAAAAGAGAGAAAAAAAAAAGAAAGCCCAAUGAUGCUAGGUACUUCAACUCAAAUAAAUUCUUGUGAUCAGAAGUAUGACAUAGUAGGAAGAAAUUUUUUUUUUUUUUGAGAAAUAGUAGGAAGAAAAAUUUUUAAUGCAAAUUGUAUAAGCCUCCGAAUAUGAGAGAUGGUAAUGAUAAUGAGCUGGAUUUAUCUCUUGCGAGCAACAUAACAGAAGCUUAAGGUUGAUAUCUCUUACUAGUUUUACAAAAAGGAUGUCAACAUGGACAAUUUUUUACUCGAGCAAUAUAUUCUUAUUAAGGAACCAAAACAAGAUUCCAAUGUGUAAGAAACAAUAGGCAUGAUUCAAAAUGGUCAGAUAGCUUUUGCAAUAAACAGCAAAAACUGGUCAUAGCCUUUUGUCCCCCACAAAAAAUAAAGGCCGAAAUGUUAAAAAUGGAAAUUGUAAGGAUAAUAAUAAGAAAUUUAAAGCAGCUAACUGAUGCUGCAAAAAUAUAUCCACAACUGAAAUCCAUCUUAUUUGAAUGAAGGGGUCAAUAAAGAGUGCAAUGAAAUUCAUAGACACAGGAAAUUUAGAUGAGUAUUUUGCUGCACCUUUCAAGCUUGGCGUCACCUCCCGAUUUUUCAAUCUCACAUGUUAAUAGACUGACAACAACAUCCAGCAAUCCCAACUUCAUCAAAGGUUGAAGAAGCAUACUUGCUACUUCUUCAUUAUCAACCACAGUUAACAAAAAGUCUAUGCACUGUCAUUAAUAGAAGUGUCCGUCAAGAUGUGGAAACAAAGACAAGCUGAUAGAUAAUGUUUAAGCCAGCUACAGUGCUAAUAUUAAAAAUGCAUCUUAAGAAAGAAAUUUACAUGCUAAUAUGCCCAAUAGCUCUAAGAUAUCAAAAGGAAUACAAGAAAAUGUCAGAACAACUUACAGUGCAAUUUACUACGUAAAUACCUGUAUUCAAUAUACAUACCUUUUCGAAUAAUGUGGAAUUCAUUGUGUUCCCAACAAUCCAUAAGAUUCGAAGAAUAAUCUGAUCAGGUAAGAGAGCUUCAGCCCAAGAAGCAAAUGCACUUCCUUGAAGAGCCACAGCAAGUAGCCUGCUUAAUUAAUGAACAUAAUGGGACUGUAAGAGCAGUUGAGUUCCACAUAUAUUAUUUCAAUUCAAUCUCUCAUUUUCCCUGCUAUGAUAUGUUGUCAAUUCAUACAGAUAGUAGUUCCACAACAUCACUUUAUCAUGCUGAAACAGAACUAGGAAGAACAUAUAAUUAAAUAGGGUGCAAAACAUCAAAAACAUAACGCAUAAUAUAUGCAGGAAAAAUCUUUGUGAACUUGUGCUUUGCAUAUAUGCAUGCAUAGUAGUUUCUAAAUUUGAAAUAAUAGUGCCACGAUUAAGUGGUCACUUUAGUGGCAAUCAGAAUUCAAGCUGGUUUACCAUCAGUGACUUCAAAAGUAUUUUAAAUAUACAAAACACAAGAAAUUAUUACUACCACAUUUAAAACAUGUAUUAGUUACUGUCCUAAACGUUUAUCCUGGUAAGAUAGAAGAUAAAUAUACAUAUGGUGCACCGACCGUCCCUAGAGCAAGUGGCAAAGGGCUGAGUGGUUGGUACCCGAGACCCAAGUUCGAAUCCUAGUUGAUUCACAUUUCCAGCUAAGUUUAUUUCUAAAUGAAAUAAACGAAGCGGGUAGCGUGCUAUCUAUCUCUCAAAAAAAAAAAAAAAAAAAAAAAAAACAUAUGGUGCUUGAAAGGUUUUGUUUUUUCCGUUGUUCACAAGAGCAAAAGAGCCGAAUGUUGGAGCAAUACAUAAGUAGAAGUGCUUUUACCAAAAGAAAUUAUCUAAAUCAUUUAUGUCCAUCACUUCCAUGCUAACAGGAUAUAAUCAGCAUGUAUGCCUACAGUUCCCUAUAAAUUGGAUUCAGAAGAUAACUUACCUGAAUGUUUCCAAAAGACAAGAAGAGUCAUCUAGAAACAACUGCUCAACAACUGUUUCAAUCAGGCCAUUUUGAGAAAUUAUUGCAUUCGUUACGACUUCAUGACAAGCUAGGUUCCCAAUAAUUCCCAAGCAAAUUUCCUGCAGAGAUAUGAAAUAUCACCAAAAAUCAUGAAGACACUUCAAUAAAACAAGUAGAUAGCAUGCAAGCCCACCGACUACUAAAUUCAGCACAAAGUGUAACACCCCAAAAUAGUAACACAUCACGCGAUGUUAGAAAAGCAUUUUAGUCAUCUAAGGCUCUAUUUGGGAUUACAGGAAGAUUGCCUUACAUGCGGCUAAAGUAUAAAAGGAAAUAUUGUGUUUGUUUCCAUACAUAAUAUUACGUUGCGCAUAUAACAAUGAGUCGAUUAAGAUACAUUUCUACAACCCCAAUGGAAAAUGGAGAAGCAUAUCUCAAUAUACUUUCACCUCAACUCCCUACUGCCCCAUAUCGUAAGGCCAGCCCACAAUACCAAAAAAACCCCAAAUCUACUUUUAGUAUGUAGGAUUUGAGCGUCUUGAACCACAUAAUUAGAGCCCUUCUUGAUUCAAGGUAGGUCAGGCCUUACAGCAAGAACACCGCUAACUCUAUUUCCAUGAUAACAAAAUGUCUACUCAUCAUAUGAUAAUACAAAUGCCCAAUUUUAAUAGAGGUUGGAUUAGUGUUGACAUCAAACUUAUCAGGUACCAAAACAAAUCCAACCCGCACCCAACUCGUCCAACUUGACUCAAUACAAGAAUACUUCUUUCGCAAAUGAGUGGCUGCAAGGUCCUGAAGCUAUUCAUUUGUAACUUUGAUUAUGUUGUAAAACCGAGAAACCAAAUCAAAACAGAUCUGACUUGUCUUCCAGCCAACCCAACCCAGAGCCAACCUCAGGCUAGAUUGGAGAUAUUGUCCACUCUCAGGACUCAAGACUUGCAACAAUGUGAUUGCAAGCCCAAAACUAUUUACUACUGAACCAAACAGUGGCCCUAUUAUAAGGAACUAUGAUACUGAUAAUGCUUGAUGGGAUCAGCUAUGUCUCAUCUAGCUUUAGCAUGUAACAUAACAAACUAUGUAGCUAAGAUAUAGGACAGCUUCACAGCAUAUAAAGAUAAGACUACUAGAUGCCGUAGGUGGUUGACCAUUUCUUAAGUCAAUCAUAGGCAUUCAUGGCAACAGUUAACACAACUUUCAACUUAUGCAAAUCAAGAAAAUGGUUAGGUCAGUGCAUAAAAUGAUCUGGACAAUGUCCAUAAGUUUUAAGAAGUGUCAAAAAGUACCUUUCAAGUAUCGAAUAGCUCACCUUCACUCGGAAAGAUUUUGAGACAUGAAGAUUCGCUAAAAGCACUUCAAGCACAAGAUUGUUCACCUACAUGGUGUGAGAACCGAGAAGACCUUUCAAUAGUCUAUUUAAAUACAUGACCACAAUCUCUAUUGCAUCAGGCAGAAGAAAAAAUGAAAGUGUGAAGUAAUUUCAACUAGAAGAACAAGACAAGACAAAUUGCACUUCAGAAAGCACACCAUUACUAGAUUUUUCCAGUAAAGAAAAACUCAAAACCCUCAACUACAGAGAUGGCAAUUCGGCCCAACAAAAAUAAUUGAACUGUUUAACUUUGAAUGUCAUGGAUGAUAUUCCAAUGAAACCUGAAAAUGUUACUUGUUAGAAUAAUGUCCUUGAGGUGUAAAAGCUGUUGGCAGAUAGGUUUCCUAUUCUUGGAAAAAUAGCAAGCCAUAUGACCCCUUACUAAGGUUCCAUGAUUGUCUCCGAGAGCUGGGGAGAUUCUUGUUAGUGCUGACUGUCCUAGUACAUUCUAGAGUUCAUUAAUAAUUGUCUAGGGCCUUAUUAAGUAUCCCAUUCUCAGUCAUUCCACAAUUAUAAAUAAGCCAAACUUCUAUAUCAUUCCAUAGCAAUUUAUCAGCUGUUAAUAUAAUGAAAAGCAGGCAGCCUGCUUGGCUACUUGCCAUGGCAAGGCUUAAUUCUGCUCAUAGUUUUGGAUUCUGAGUGGCCUUUAACCCUUAAAAACUUUCAAACAAGAACAACAAGCAUGGUUUCCCAAAGAUUAAUCAAAAGUUAUCCUACUUAAUACAAUUAAGUUAUUCUACUUAAACAAUUAUAGAGGUAAAAAAAAAAAGUCCUUCCCAGUUCCCACUCUUGUGAAACCAAAAGCUUUAGACUUAUCUAAACCGAAGUUCAUUGAAAAGGGGAUAACAACUGAAAAUGGAGUAAAACAGUGCAUUAAUGGGACUACGACCUUCAUCAAAUGAACAUUCAGGAAAAGCAUAUGAAAGGGAAAGAAAUAUAAGACGUGAGUACCAUAACUUCAGCCUGAGUUUUGCUAGCCGCUAGAUCCCAUAGGACACAGCCACAUUCUUCCCAAGGGUCUAUAGUUUCUGAAAGUCCAGACUGCCCAUCAUCAAAACCACCAUUUCUUUCUUCUCCCAAAUCCAGCUUGGCACUGCUCUCCUAAGUACAAGCAGCAGAACUUUAUAAGUGAAUAGAACAAAGAUGAGCUUUCUCUUCCUGAGUGUCUGUCAAAGUUAUUCCAAAGCCAAGAUCAUGGAGAGCUUCUACAGCAAUGGUUUAAUUCAAGAGAUUUUUUUUCAAACACUUUUGACAGUAUAGAUGAACCAAAAAAAAAAAAGAUUAUUGACUAUCACCUGAGACUCUUCCUGUUUCUUCGUAUCACGAGGCAAGAGCAGUCGAAUGCGAGAGAUUAUAUAGCUGGGAUCAACUGUUGUUGAUAUGUCAAAUAGCUGGAGCAAAAAAAAUUAAAAAAAGAGUUUUGACUUACAAAUAUCUUGGAUUACUUCGUUCUUACACAACUAUAAAGUCGAUUGGCAUGCCUCCUAGAGAAGAAAUAAACAUGGAUGGUAUUGGAUGUCAUCUUGUUGAAUAUAAAUAUUAAAAACAUCAUUCUCUGGUAACUUAAGCUUUUGAAGAAAAAUAAUUGUUUCAUACUAUUUAACACGGUAUUAGAUCAAGAAAUCCUGAGUUUUGAGUCCCGUCGGGAUCUUUAUUUCAUUUAGUUCCCUCCCAUUUAAUUCAACUUCACGUCUUGGACCUAUCAAAAAGUCUCGAGUCCAGACAUAAGGGAGAGUGUCGAGUAUAACUAUUAAAAAUAUUGUUCAUCGGUAGUUUAAGCUUUUGAACAAAAAUAGUUGUUUCAUAUUAUUUAACACAGAUUUUUCUACAUGAAGCCUUUAUAAAAAAUUGACUAAUACUAAAAUUGUUGCUGCUACAAAUGCAUCCCAAAACCCUAAUGGUGAUAGUGCAAUACUUGAUCAUAUCUUCUUGGCGUAAAGAAACACAGUUUAGAGAUAGCCAUCGAAGAGAGAUCAAGAAUCCAAACUUGCCCCUCAUUAAAAAGAAAAGCAUCACCCCCAGUUCGUAAAGUUCAAAACCAGAUUCAUAGCACGAACAAGAGAAGGGGUUAUCGAAACUAGCGUAAAAAAUGCUCGCCACAUGUUCGACAUAACGCCCAAAAGAGAAUGGAAAAUAUAGUUGCUAUGUUAACAAAAUGGCAAAAUUAAAAGAAAAAAAAAGUAAUAUAUGGAAUUACAACCUCAGAAGAUGGAGCGAAGGGGAGAUGUGAAGGAGCUUCUUCUCCCUCCUCUUCCUCCUCCUCCUCUUCCUCCUCCUCCUCCGCCUCCUCUUCUUCUUUUUCCCUCUCCGCUUCUUCUUGGGGUGGGCUAGGCGCCAUUAAUGGCGAGGUAGGGGACAGAGAGAGAGGGGGGUGUAGAAAAGAGGAGGUAAAAAUGCACAGAGGAAGCCCUCAACUAUAAAGGAAGUUAUGAAAUGAGGUUCGCAACUUUUUAAAAAACUUUUACGAAUAAAAAUAUUUACAAGAUUUUUAAAUUUUAGUAUACUUGCAAAUAGGCCUCUUAAACUUUUAACUUUAGCAUAAAUCCUACUAAACUAUAUUAAAUAGCUCAAUAGAUCCCUCUUCUCAAUCCAAAUUGCUAGUUACACAAUUAUUUUAGCACCGUGUAUUGUAUGUAAUCUUACAAAGAUUAAGAUUACAAAAAAAAAAAAUAUUUGUUUAAUUAAAUAUAAUAAAAAGCAUUAUAAGAAUAAACAAUUUAUUUGGAUGUAUGAAAUUGAGGACUGUAUUUAUAUAUUUUAUCAUUUUAGAUUAUGAGAUUGUGGAUUACUCUAUAUUAGAAAAAAAAUAUUUUUUAUUUGAAAGAUAAUUAGGACUGUAUCCCUAUUUUUGAUCUAAAGUUACUUUUUCUAUUUACUAUAUUUGAAAUUACAUUUAUAAGUUAUAACAAAUUCCAACGUAGUUUCAAUUGCUGUAUUUGAAUAUCUUUGUCGAGUUCUCACUGCAAAAAUAAGAUUCAAAUAGAUCAAACUAAAUAUCAUUAGGAUUUAUGUGAAAUUAUAAUUAUAGUACAAUUAUAUGUGAUCAAAUAGUCUUUUAUUAACUGCACUUGAGGUGACUGAUUAUUAAACUAUUUAAGAAAGUUUAGGCCAUUUUUUCGUAAGACUAGUUUAGAAGUGAGACGUCGGAAGUUAUCGAUCUAAAAUUCGUAAAUUUUGUCAACUUGCAUUCGUAAAAUUAAACAACUAAAAUUUACACACUUAUGAGUAAGAAUUUAGAUAAUUUUGUGAUUUUGAUAUCGAGAUACUUUCUUUUUUCUUUUUCUUUUUUUGAGAGAUAGGUAGCAAACUAGCAUGCUACCCGCUUCAUUUAUUUCAUUUUAAAAAUAAACUUAGCUGAAAAUGUGAAUCAACUAGGAUUCGAACUUGGUUCUCGGGUAUCAACCACCAAGUCCUUUGCCACUUGCUCUAGGAACGAUCAGUAUCGAGAUACUUUCUUAAACUUAUGAAUUCAACCUUCGAAUUUGAGAAAUACAAAUAAUUUUUUUUUUCAUUUAAUCUUUCCAAACUCUUUUUUUAUAAAUGGCUUCAGUAAAUUUAUAUUUGCAUAAAUAGUUCUCUCCCUGCCACGAAAGAAUGCAUGUUAAGUUGAAUACGAUGAUUCAAUCAUUAUGUUUAAAGACGGUGACUACCUUAUUCUUUCACUUAGUGAUAAUAGAAAUUAAAAAAUAUAUUAAAAAAAUAUAAUAAUUCAAUCAUUAUAUUUAAACACAUUGACUAGAUCAUCAUGUUUAACUUAAAAACAUCACAUGACCUUUUCUAUCUAGCAUGGUGCUUGCGUGACAGGUAGAAAGUCAUUUAUGCAAAUAUAAAUUUGUCAGACCUAUUUGUUAAAAAAAAAAGCGGCUAAAUGUUUGAAAAACAAAAAAAGAUAAACUUUAAAUACGGCCCCUGUGGUUUCUCACUUUCUCACUUUAGUAUCAUGUGGUUUAAAAUGUAUCAAUUUAGUGCCCUGUGAUUUUAUUUUUCUCUUUUUGUGAGUUUUUUCGUUAAUAUUUUGUUAAAUUAUAUAAAAAGCUUUAGAUAUCUACCUAGGUUUAUCGAAUAUUCACUUUAGCAACUUUUAGUUUCAAUUUUAUUAUUGAUUUAAAAAAAAAAUAGUAAAAUUGAUAAUAAAAAAAAAAUAAAAUUAUAAGGUAUUAAAGUGAGAAGAUACNCAACGUAGUUUCAAUUGCUGUAUUUGAAUAUCUUUGUCGAGUUCUCACUGCAAAAAUAAGAUUCAAAUAGAUCAAACUAAAUAUCAUUAGGAUUUAUGUGAAAUUAUAAUUAUAGUACAAUUAUAUGUGAUCAAAUAGUCUUUUAUUAACUGCACUUGAGGUGACUGAUUAUUAAACUAUUUAAGAAAGUUUAGGCCCUUUUUUCGUAAGACUAGUUUAGAAGUGAAACGUCGGAAGUUAUCGAUCUAAAAUUCGUAAAUUUUGUCAACUUGCAUUCGUAAAAUCAAACAACUAAAAUCUACACACUUAUGAGUAAGAAUUCAGAUAAUUUUGUGAUUUUGAUAGCAAGAUACUUUCUUUUUUCUUUUUUCUUUUUUUGAGAGAGAUAGGUAGCAAACUAGCAAGCUACCCGUUUCAUCUAUUUCAUUUUAGAAAUAAACUUGGCUGAAAAUGUGAAUCAACUAGAAUUCGAACUUGGGUCUUGGGUACCAACCACCAAGCCCUUUGCCACUUGCUCUAAGGACGGUCAAUAUCGAGAUACUUUCUUAAACUUAUAAAUUCAACCUUCGAAUUGGAGAAAUACAAAUAAAUUUUUUUUGCAUUUAAUCUUUCAAAACUAUUUUUAUAUAAAUGGCUUCAGUAAAUUUAUAUUUGCAUAAAUAGUUCUCUUCCUGCCACGAAAGAAUGCAUGUUAAGUUGAAUAAGGUGAUUCAAUCAUUAUGUUUAAAGACGGUGACCGCCUUAUUCUUUUACUUAGUGAUAAUAGAAAUUAAAAAAUAUAUUAAAAAAUACAAUAAUUCAAUCAUUGUAUUUAAACACAUUGACUAGAUCAUCAUGUUUAACUUAAAAACAUCACAUGACCUUGUCUGUCUAGCAUGGUCCUUGCCUCACAGUUAGAAAGUCAUUUAUACAAAUAUAAAUUUGUCGGACCUAUUUGUUAAAAAAAAAAAGCGGCUAAAUGUUUGAAAAACAAAAAAAGAUAAACUUUAAAUACCACCCCUGUGGUUUCUCACUUUCUCACUUUAGUAACAUGUGGUUUAAAAUGUAUCAAUUUAGUGCUCUGUGAUUUUAUUUUUCUUUUUUUGUGAAUUUUUUUGUUAGUAUUUGAUUAAAGUAUAUAAAAAACUUUAGAUAUCUACUUAGAUUUAUCGAAUAUUCAUUUUAGCACCUUUUAGUUUUAAUUUUAUCAUUAAUUUAAGAAAAAAAAAAAUAGUAAAAUUGAUAAUAAAAAAAAAAUUAUAGGGUACUUUAGAACAUACGAAAUCAUAUAGGUGGUAUUUGAAGUUUUCCAAAAAAAAAAAAAACCAAUACAAAUAUGCCCUAAUUGUCGUGCAAGCUCACCCCUUCGCCUUACUACCAUUGUGGCCUACCGGCGUCCGCCGGCCAUCAUGGACUACAGUCUGGCGGCGCUGAAGCUAUUCUGCUGCCACCUGAACGACGUGCAGCCUUCCUCCUCUUCUUCCUCUUCUUCUUCCUCCUCCGCCGCCGCCAUGACCCUCUUCGGCAUCCUCUUCCAACGCGCCUGGCUACAGGUCCUCUCUCUCUCUCUCUCUCUCUCUCUCUCUCUCCAUCCCCUUUGUUGUCUUGUCUCUCUCUCUCUAGCCCUUGAUUGACGCUACUCCUGCAGGCAGGGCGUCCUCCUCUCCGGCCACGGCGACGGCCGCUUCCUCCUCGACGACGGCUCCGGCGUCGUCGAGCUCUCCCUCUCCCCCGAAUCCCACCCUCAGGAGUGGAAAAAGGGUGACCCUCCCAAUUCCCAGAUGCUACUCCUUCAUUCUCUCCCCCUAUAUAUAUAUAUAUAUAUAUAAAACUCUUUAACGACGAAGAAAUCUACAAUCUCAGGUAUGUAUGUGAUGGUUGUGGGACCGUUCACCGCCCUUCAAUCUGCUAAUGCUCUGCCCCUCAUCAAGGUACAUUUUUACUCACACCUGGGAUUCUUUACUUAGUAGCUUAAGCUUUUUCGAGUUUCAUGACUCUCGCCUUAUUGUCUAGCUACAAGUUCUCUUCUAUCUAUUAAUUGCUAGAAGGCCCUUGAGGAUAUGAUGUAUCGAUCAAGAUGGGGCCGGGCAUGCACAGAGGACCUAAUUGUAUUGUUGUCUGAGUCUGUUACUAAUCUGAUAUGUGUUCUGAGAAUAAUCCUUUGUUGAUCGGAAAUUUGAUAUGCGCGCUGCGUUUGGCGUCGUCCUGUUAAGUAGUGUUAAGUUGUUUGAAGACGUUUGAUGGUUGGUCGUUUCAUUGAAUGCUGUUGAAGGAUCAUGGCUUUGAGGGAUGGUUUCUUUGGUAUAAAGAAAAUAAUCAGGGAGCGCAAUCCGAGUCGUUUGGAACAGUAUGAACUUAAUUAGAAAUGCAAAGCAACUAGGUUUUGAAUUCGAGAUCUCGAGUUCUUAGCCAACUGCGCUAGCUACGGUCGGUAGAACUUGUAAGAUUUUCAAUCAGGCUUUUGGGUGGUAUUUUGUGAGACGAAGAAAUCGGAUGGAUAAAGCAUAAAGAGCUGUAGGCCAAGCAUAAAAGGAUAGCAGGCUUUAAUAGUUAGCCGGUCGUGCAUUCUUUCCAAGCCUUUAAAUCAAUUUUAAACCUUGUUUUUGAUUAAUGCAUCACUCUCACCCUUUCAAAUACUUAUUUCGUCUUGGAUAAUCUUUAUUUUGUGCGCGAUCAAUUGCCAUUUACACUCUAUGCCCUAUGUGGGACGACCAUAACAAUAGAUUUGAGGAGCAUCCCCUUAGGACAGGUAAAGUUUACCGAUUUAGUUUUUGCUUUGGCAUGUGUUGGAAUUAGAGGCCAGCGGAAACUCACAAACUGGAUAACCAACAUAUCUAGAAACUGAAAUCAGAUCGAGUUUCUUGUUUUAGAACCAGUCAAUGUGGACACACCACAUGACAACAGUAUGAAUAGUAAAGAACAUAAAAUUUAUAUUACAUUGAUAAUGCUCUCCAGAUUAUUUAGUUGGAAUUGUGAAUUUUCCUAUUUGCAGGUCCACAAAAUUGUCGAUCUCUCACCAUACCCUGACCGAGAAGCAAUGUGGCAUCUGGAAGUCAUCGAGGCGUGUAAAUUGUUUUACCUGCGUUCACUCGAAUGAGUUCUCAUUGCACAUGCAAAGUUCAGCUAAAAUUUGGGCAAAAUGCAGCUACUAUAUCUAAUCGAGUUAUCUUUAUAUUCAUUGCCCAAACUGCUGUAGUUGGGCAACUGCUGGUAAGCUUCCGCACUCUCCGCCCUUUUGAUGUCGCAGAUGAUCUCGUACAUCUUUUGUCGGAAACAAUGUAACGAUGUUUCUAAGAACUUCAAGUUUUGAUGAUCUGUGUGGAGAUGAUCUCAUAACUAAAAGGUGAUCUCUUGUUGGCUUGUUGUUGUUAACUUAUUAUUAGUCAUUCUGGUAUCUAAACAAUUUUGGCUGUUUGACAGAAGUUACCCUGAACUAGAUGUUAUGAUGUUACUGCUGUGUGAAAAAAUUUUAAGCUUUUGCAAUUGGGGAAAUAUAUCCAGUGCAUCCCUUGCUUAUUCCAAUGGUCCACAAAUGUUUUUAUUUUUAAUAAAAAGUAAGGGAUAGUAUCUAACAUGCUCUUAGCAACUUCAAAAUUAUCUAAUUUAUUUCUGAUUGACCAAAAUGCUUGGGUUUUAAAAAUAUUCUUUGAGAAAGUUUGCUAAUUGGAAUUGGGGUUUAGGGGGAUAGUUUAGGAAUAGAGGAGUAUAUUUAAAAGUUUUGAAUAGCAGUUAGGAAAAGGCUUCUUGUACAUUCCUAAAACGGGUGUACAUCUUACACUUACAAUUUUAGGAUCGAUAAAAAUCGAAUUGAUUUUUAAUAAAAUUUUAAAAAAUUGAUGUGAUAAGAAUGACCUUAGGGUGAAAUGAGUGUAAAAUCUAUCCCUCGCUUUAGGGUGUAUCUGUAGUAUUACUACUAUCUUGGAUAACAAUUAUAAUGAUAUGUAGUAGUGUAGGAGAAAGUCUACUAUGCGGCAGUUACAACCCAUUAUGGGUGAAUUCGAGAAAAGUAAUUUGAUUGGUUGGAAACAUCACAUUAAUAAUAUGACUUUCACAUUUUUAGGCUUUUUAGUAGUGUAAGGGUGAAUUCGAGAAAAGUAAUUUGAUUGGUUGGAGACACCACAUCAAUAAUAUGACUUUCACAUUUUUAAGCUUUUUAGUAGUGUAAGAAUUUUAUUAUAUGACAGCCACGUCACAUUAUUUAUUUUCAGUCAAUUAUAUCUCGUUUUAAAAGAAAAUUAUAAUAAAAAUAUUUUUUAAAAAAUAUGGUAAGAUGGAUGAAUUUUAAAAGGGCAAUAUAAUAGGUCAGACUCAUUAUGUCAGUGACUGUCACAUUUUAGACUUUUUCAGUAGUGUGGAAGUAGGAUUAUUAUAGUAAUUAAAAGCUAGGUGGUUUUUCUUUUCUUUUUUUUUUUGGGAACAACCAUGCAGGCCCAAUUCAUAUCCUCGUAGAGCCCCUAUUUUUGAAUCCUUUUGAAAUAAAAGUUAAUGAAGAAGAAUCCCAUUGUGGCCUCUUUCUACUAUUGAGGCGCCGUAAUUGACCUGCCGUUAUCGGAAAUGGACCAAGUCACGCCCGUUUCCACUUUCCACUCGUCUCUCUCCCACCUGGGUUCUUUGGUUUUACAGAAAAUUUCUUCAUAAUUUUUUUAAAAUUUUGGCUGUUUAAUUUAUAAAAAAAAAAAAUUAUAUUUCUUUAAAAAAGUCUUAUGAAAAAUUAGUGGCUUAAUUUGUUUCUUAGUUUUUUUUUAAAAAUGAAAGAACUAGGUUUUAAAAAAUCUGAAUUUUUUUUAUAAAAUAUUACUUUUUAAACCAAACAGGCGGGAAACGAAAAGGAAUGAGUUUUUUUUUUUUUUCAGUUUUCCAUAAAAAUCUAUUUUUUGAAAAAAAAAAUUUAACAUAUUUUUGAGAAACCAAACAACACAUUUUAUUUUCGCGAAAACAGCUACUUAACUGUGCAGCACUGCAUGCACUACUAAAUCAGAAUUUAAUUUAUUAACUAUUUAUAUGGUAUUCAAGAAACUUAUUAGUUAAAAAUCAUAAUUCUGAAACAUCAAAUUUCGUACGAACUGACUAUAUAUAUAUAUAUAUAUUAAAUUUUGUUGAAAUUUGGGACUAUCUGAUAUCUAAGAAAUAGUUUUUUUAUAAGUUACUCAUAGAUUAUCUAAAUAUUAUUCAUCAUAUAUAUCGGAUUAGUUCUUUUGAUUUUACAACAUUGGUCACCAAAUAUUCAGUGCGCCACUGUGGUUCACGAAGCGUAAGAUACACUGGGUGCAUGCAAAAAUUUCCGCCAAUUGCGCAAGAACGACCCUGUCUGACUUUGGAAUUGUGGAAAUUGUUGCAUGCACCAGGUGCACCGUGAGCCAAAACUCCUACAACCCACAAAUGGAGCUUCAAAAUCAAAAUCAAAGACCUUAUGGGGCAUCUUUGUAAUUUUUUUUUGUUCAUUUUAUUAAAAUAUAAAUGUUAUGUAAUUUAAAUGUUUACAAAUAAAUUGCUCGCCUAGCGUCAUAAUUAAUUAGCUUGCAAUACAUAUCUUUUGUUUCCAAUAUGAGAUGACAUCUUAUUAAAAAAAUAAAAAAAUAAAAAAUUUGUUUUCACGCAUUUGGAUUUAUUUUUUGCUCAAACAAGGGCUAAAUUAGAUGUAUUUUUUUAACAUUUAAAGAAUGUAUGUAAAACUAUAAGUCUGUAAUCUUUACUAGUGAAAAGGCCUUGGCAACUUUAACAUUUUUGUAACACAAAGUAUAUAAUCUUUCAAUUAGGUAAUUAUACUUCUUUAAAUUUUAUCAAAUAGUUUAAUAAGUAUUUUUUCUCGAGCUAAUUUAUUAAAAUUAACAAUCGUUAUUAUAGCACACUUUAUAUGUAAUUUUGUAUAACUUUGUAACACAAAAGAGUCAUUUUUUUUCAUUGUAGUUAUAAAAUGCAAGUAUCAAGAUUGAAGAAGAGUUUGAAUCUAUUUUCAACUUUUAUUAUUUGUUCUCAUCUAUUAGAAAAAAAAAAUAUAUGUAUCUACAUUUAGUUUCUUUCAAAUAUUCAAAUAAUUUUAUAUUCGAUCAAAUUUGAAAAUUUUAUAUUCGAACACGAAUAAUACCGCUUAUGAAUGCGAAUAUUUUCAGAUAACAUACUAUCCGUUUUAUUUCUAAUGCAUGCCCUACUCUUUUAAAAUGAGAGCUUAGUUGGUUUCCCUUUCUAUAAGUGAAAAAGACUAGAAUAUAUCAGUUAUAUUACUGAUAUGACGUUCCCAGUCAAUCAAAAUAUUUUCUUUGGGUUCAACCAUCCUAUCAUGGUUAUUGGAAAAAUAUUUUUGGUAAACUUUCUUUCAAAAAGUGAGAUGUGAUCAGCUGAUUAUUGAUGAUGCAGUAUAAGUGUGAUACAGUAGACUUCCUCUCUAUAAGUGUGGUGCAUGGGGUGUAUUAUAUAUAUGGAUGCACCAGAUGUACGGAUAAUUUAACAUGCACCAGGUCCACGGCGGCGACUUUUCUCAUUGUCUACUUCGAAGCUUCGACGAGUCCACGACCGUGACGACGACGACGAGGGCGAAGAACGAGAACGCGUCGUCGUGGCCCCCCAAAUUAGACCCCUAAAAAAAAAAAAUAAAUUAAUAAAUUCCCACCCUUUUCUUUUAUUUAUUAUUUAUUAAAACCUUGAAGCAUGCGGAUUGGUUUCGGAGUCGAGCGGAGACCUUUUGUCGGCGAACGCAAAUUUCGGAAACCCUAGCACCGUCGCCAAGCGAGGCUCCGGCGAGGCUCCGGUGAGGGCGGCGGCGGCGGAGGAGGAGGAGGAGGAGACCAUGGGGUGGAGGGUGAUGUGGCGGCGGAUGCUACGAUCCCCCGCCGCGGUGUUCCUCGUCUCCUCCUUCUUCCUCCUCGGAUCCGUCGCGCUCCUCUUCGCUUGGCUCACCUUCUCCCCCUUCCCCAAACCCCUCCCCGUCUCCUCCAAAUCCUCCUCCUCGGCGGCGGCCAUGGCGUCUUCUUCUUCUUCUUCUUCUUCCUCCUCCUCUUUAGGUUGCCGCCCCGAUGGCGAGGGCUCUUGGGCCAUUGGCGUCUUCUUCGGCGACUCGCCCUUCUCCCUCGAGCCCAUCGAACUCGUGAGCUCGAAUUCUUUCUCUUUUUUAACUUGCAAAUCUACUAGUUUGUUCUAAAGAUUGGAUUUGGUUAAUUUUGUUGUGUUUUGUGGUUUUUGGAGCAGUGGAAUGAGUGGAGGAACGAGAGCGCAGCGUGGCCGGCUGCGAACCCGGUCGUCACCUGCGCCUCUGUCUCGGAGGCCGGAUUCCCCAGCAACUUCGUCGCCGAUCCCUUCCUCUUCAUCAAGGUUUGUGUUCAAACUGAUACUAAAGAUUUGAAUUUUCGACACACUUAAUGCGAGGAUAUCACUUCAGUGGCAUCAUUGAGUGUAUAGUUGUAGAUUGGAUGCUCCAUGUUGCGCACUCGUGUAGGCACAGAAAAGUUCAUUUUGGGGGGCACAAAAAUAUCUUUACUUGCAAAAAGUUCGAGAUAUUAAUCAUUUGAUGUGCCCAUGUUCUCCAAUUCCCUGCUGUAAAAUUAGCUUAUUGUCGACAUUUGACACACAGGAUUACACUGCACGGAUCUCAGAUAUCUUCUAUUAGGUGUUGCGUGCUUCUUUCAGACUCGACUAAUUGAUGCAUAUAUGUAUCUCUCUACUUAGUAUUAAGUUCUAAAUGCCUUUCGUCAUGUGUUAUUUGAUGUGCAUUUUGACUGGAAACAAAAUGUGUCCGGACAGGGAUCAUUCAUUAUGUAUAUCAUCUAGUAUACAUCUCUUUAUCCUUAGUAUUUAUGGGUAAUUCACAUUCACUGUGUUAACAAUUAAAGUAUUAUCUACUAUUUAUUGACCACGUCCACUCACCUAAGUUCUAACAUCUGUAAAUUGUUACUAAACCGAGUAUGCCGAACUAUUAAUGGUUUCUUUCAUUGAGAUAUUGUAUUACGUCAGUUUAUAGCGGAUAACGUAAUGAUGUUGAAAAUAAUUACAUCUCCAGGGAGAUACUUUUUAUUUGUUUUUUGAGACCAAGAAUUCCGUCACAUUGCAAGGAGACAUAGGGGUUGCUGUGAGCAAGGACAAUGGUGCGACAUGGGAGCAACUGGGUAUAGUGCUAGAUGAAGAAUGGCAUCUCUCUUAUCCAUAUAUAUUCAGCUACCAGGACCAAGUACGAUUCCGCAGUCGCCGUUUAAAUUUAAAUUGUUUAAUAUUGGAAUUCGAGGUGCUCUUUGCUUUAUUGAACUUCUCAUGACUUCAUGCCUUUUCUUUUGUUCUUUCGAGGUUACAGAUCUACAUGAUGCCGGAAGGCAGUAAGAAGGGAGAUCUCCGUCUCUACCGUGCAUUGGAAUUUCCACUCAAAUGGAAACUAGCGAAGGUCAUUUUGAAGAGACCCCUUAUUGAUUCAUUCAUUAUAUAUUAUGAUGGCUAUCAUUGGCUUUUUGGAUCGGAUUUCAGUUUUUUUGGUGCCAAAAAGAAUGGAGAGCUUGAAAUCUGGUACAGUACCUCACCUCUCGGUCCCUGGAAACCGCACAAACAAAACCCAGUUCAUAAUAUUGAUAAAACCUUAGGUGCCAGAAAUGCAGGCCGGCCAUUUAUAUACAAUGGAAGCCUCUAUCGAAUUGGGCAAGACUGCGGUGGCACAUAUGGACGGAGUAUCCGUCUAUUCAGAAUUCAAGUCCUCACAACUGACAGAUAUGAGGAAAUUGAAGUCCCACUCGGUCUGGAAAGGCCCCGUAAGGGUCGAAAUGCAUGGAACGGUGCCCGAACCCAUCACUUAGAUGCUCAACAGCUUAAAUCAGGUAAAUGGGUUGCGGUAAUGGAUGGUGAUCGAGUGCCCUCAGGCGAUUCAGUUAAAAGGCUCUUUAUAGGAUACGCAGCAUUUGGGGCCGCAAUAAUUCUUGUUAUUUUAACAGGCGUGCUUUUGAGUGCAAUAAAGUGCAUUUUGCCCCUCAGUCGGUGCCUUCCUAUUUUAGGAAAGCGAAGUGAUGUUUUUCAGGCAGAGCCACGGGUUUUCCUCUACUUGAAACUUGGCUGGUUUUUUAACCAUGUAAAUAAGCUAAGCUCUCCUCUUCAUGGAAGAAUCAACACUAAAACUUGUAGAGGGCUGUUGGUUUUAAGUAUUAUAUUUGUAACUUUAGUUGCUUUGACUUGUAUUGGCACUCAUUAUGUCUACGGCGGCAAUGGUUCUGAGGAGGGUUAUAUGGUUAAGGGGCACUACUCACAGUUCACCAUGUUAACCAUGACUUACGACGCUCGCCUUUGGAACUUAAAGAUGUUCGUGAAGCAUUACUCUCGAUGCUCUUCGGUGAAAGAGAUAGUGGUGGUGUGGAACAGAGGUCAACCCCCAAAAGAGAACGACUUUGACUCUGCCGUGCCUAUAAGGAUCAGAGUGGAGAAGAGGAACUCUUUGAAUAACAGGUUUAACAUAGACCCGCUGAUAAAGACUCGAGCUGUUUUCGAGCUCGAUGAUGACAUCAUGAUGACAUGUGAUGAUUUGGAGCGCGGAUUCAAAGUAUGGCGGGAGAAUCCCGAUAGAAUUGUUGGUUUUUAUCCACGCCUUGCUGAUGGGAGCCCAUUGGAAUACCACGACGAGAAUUAUGCGCGAAGGAAAGGGGGCUAUAAUAUGAUAUUAACAGGGGCGGCGUUCAUUGAUCAUAAAUUGGCAUUUGAGAGGUAUUGGAGCGAGGGGGCGAAGGUGGGAAGGGAGAUGGUCGAUAAACAGUUUAACUGUGAGGAUGUGCUUUUGAACUUCUUGUAUGUGAAUGCUAGUUCAUUGGAUAGGACAGUAGAGUAUGUGAAGCCUUCGUGGGCAAUCGACACAUCAAAGUUUUCUGGUGUAGCCAUUAGUAAGAAUACAAAAGCGCAUUACCAUGUUAGGAGUGAGUGCAUUCGUCGGUUCUCGGAGAUAUAUGGGAACUUGGCUGCCAAUAAAUGGGGUUUUAGCAGUAGGAGAGAUGGUUGGGAUUUGUAAUGUUUCCCUCGGAGAUUGUUGAUAAUUAUAUUGUCCGAUAGAUUGUGCCAAGCUUGUCGAGCAGGGGGAUAAAUUAUUGAAGGCCUUAUUGGAUAUUGGAAUCAUAUAACGAUGUUCCGCGAUGUAUCCAUAAGUCGAUACACAGAACACAUUAUCAUGCAUGGAGAGACUUGCAAUGUAGGUUGACACCAAAGAUGGAUGUUGGGACCUGUAGCAGUGAAGAGCUGUGUAUCAUUUUUUAAAACAAUUUUGCUUUACUGCUUGUUGUAUAUUGUGAUCAAGCUUUACUACUGUACAUCUUAGUAUGUUGUGUAAUCCUUUUACUCAACCCUUCUGAGUACCAAGCUAUGAGGUUACCUUAAUUUGUACCCUAGGCAACAUGGCUAUCUAUGUGACUUUGAAAGUAAGUUUUGAGUGAAGCACUCAUCUGAGUUUGGAAGAUCUAGAUUUUCUCUACAUUUUACAGACUCUAGGGUGCAAGUCAUAGGGCAGUAAAAUAUUAUUGGUGUUAUCAUCUUAUGAUUUGUUAAAUGCACAGUAUUUAUUACUUUGUGGUUUGUAAAAUGUAGCACCUUGUUAUUCAAAUUAAUAGCAAAUUUUUAUGGCAAAACAAUUGUAUUUUUGGUCCUCAAAGGAUAAAGCACGUGACAUUUUCAUUCUCAAAUUUUAAUUUGCUAUAAUUUUUAGUUCUAGUUUUUUAAAUUAUUGUAGUUAAAUUCUAGAGUUCAAUUUAAUUAAUUGAGCGAUGAUGUGAGCUUGAUGUGACUAUGAUGUGAAAUUUGAGUCAUUGUUAUGCUAUCAACAAUAAUAUUGCUCCAUAUUAAUGGCAUAUUAAUAUUUAGUCAACUAAAUUAUUAUAUGAGAACUGAAGUGUUGCAUAUCUUAUAGCUGAGGAUUAGAAAUGCAAUUUAGCUAGGGAUGAAUGCCAAUCGGAUAUUAUUCGAAAAUAUUCGUAUUCGUAUUCGUAUUCGAUAAUAUCUGUAUUCAUGUAAAAAAUAUCCGGAUCCAAUUGAAUAUGGAUACGAAUAUGGUUUUGAAAAAUGAAAAUUUUCUGAAUAUAUGAUAAAAGCAGAUAAGGAUCCGAAUAUUCGGACUUUUAGUAUUAUUAUUUUUAUAUUCUUUAUAUUUUUUGGAUCUGUCUGCUAGUCCGUCCAAAUCCUUUUUCUCCAGAGUUAGUUAACACCAAUUUAACUUUAAAAUUUGAAUAUAUCGUUUAUUUUUCAAGUUUAAUUAGUAUAUACUUUAUGCAAUUUUCGCAACCAUAAAUUAGUUAAAGCAAGUUGUUAGCUUAAAUUUUGAAACCAAAACGUCGUUAAGUGAUUUAAAUUAAAUAAAUAAAAUUUUGAAUAGUAAAUAAAAUAAAAUUUUUUUAAAAAAAUAUUAGAUAGUUAAUUCAAAAUCAUUCAUAAUUCAGAUAAAUUUUUACAAGUUUACCUAUAGAAUUUAGAUAUGAACAUUCUCACGCACAAUAAUUAAAAAAUUUUGAAAAAACUUGAAUAAUUUUCUGUGGCCUGUGGGGGACUGAGGUGGGCUUGGAUUGGAUCAGAACUCCACUUACGAUCGUUCCAUCCCUUGGAGAGAGUGUAUUUGCGCAAGUGACAAAAAAAAAUUUAUAAUUAGUCUUUUAAAUUUAAAUUUAAAUUUUACUUACUAUAUACUGGUAAAUAAAUUUAGGUUUUAAAAUAAGAAAAAACUUCAAAUACUACCUCUAUAGUUUCUCAUUUUCUCACUUUAAUAUCCUAUGGUUUAAAUGUAUCUUUAUUUUUAUUUUUUUAUUAUCUAUUCUAUUAAUUUUUUUUCUUAAAUCAGUAACAAAGUUAAAACUAAAGGGUACCAAAGUGAAUAUUCGAUAAAUCUAGAUGAGUAUCUGAAGUGUUUUGUAUAUAAUUUAACGAAAAAGUCGAAAAAAAUAAAAUUGAAAUCAUAUGACAUUAAUUUGAUACAUUUAAACUUAGCCGGUACUUAAAGUGAAAAAAAAGUAAGAAACAGUGAUAUUUGAACUUUAUCCUUAAAAUAAUAAAUAUGUGAAUUUGAGUAGGAUCGAGCGGCUCUCUAGCGUGAUAAUUUUGUUGGGCUGAUGGCGGCGGUGAUGUGCUCUCCGUUCGCCGCCGCCGCGCGCCGCGCGCCGUCGCAGCGGCGGCGGCGGGAGGGAGCCGCAGUUUUCGUUUGGUGGGGGGAAGGAGGAGAGGAGGAUAACGAGCGUGUCGAACCCGCUGGUGAAGCACUGUGUGAGGCUCCGCCUCAGCUCCUCCUACCGCCGCUCCUCCCCGUCCUUCUCCUCGUCGGCCUCACCCCCAUCUUGUACGUCCCUCAUGCCCUAACACUCCCCCCACAUCUCUCUCUUUUAGAGCUUUUUCGACAAGCACCACCUGUUUGAUUAAUUUCUCCAAAUUUUUGGAACCGCAAUGUGUCUCUAAACCUCUCUCUCUCUCUCUCUCUCUCUCGUAUACAUUAAAUUCUGUUUUUUUUUUUUUUUAAAAUUUAUGAAAGGGCCGUUGAGCAGAGCUUUUUUCGACAUGCCCACCACAUGUUUGAUUAAAUUCCCCCAAUUUUUGGAACCCGCAAAUUCUUGCUCUCUCUCUCCCUCUCUCUCUCCCUCUCUCUCCGAUACUAUUAAAUUCUAUUUUUUUUAAAAUGAAAGCGCCGUUGAGCAGAGCUUUUUCGACAUGCUCGCCACUUUGAUUAAAUCCCCCGAAAUUUUAGAACCCGCAAUGUGCUCUAAACCUCUCUCUCUCUCUUUCUCUCACUCUCUUCUGUUAAAUUCUGAAUUUUUGUGAUUGAUAGAAGCGCCGAGGUGCCGUUGGAUAGAGCUUUUUCGACAUGCCACCACCUGUUUGAUUAAAUUCCCCCAAUUUUAGAACCCGCUAUGUGUAUGUAAAACUAUCUAUCUUUCUCUCCUCUCUACUAUUAAACUUUAAAUUUUUCUGAUUGAUAGAAGCGCAUUGAAUAGUGCUUUUCAGCAAGCCACUAACUGUUUGAUUAAAGUCCCUCACAUUUUGCAACCCACAAUGGUUCUGUAAAACUCUAAAAUUUAAAAAAAAGGCUCAAUUUGAACUUUUGCUAUUCUCCUUGGCGAAAAGUUGAAGCUUUUGUUGGAUGGAAAGAGGAGAAAAAUAAAAGGAGAGAAAAGAGAGGAAAAGAAAAAAGUAAUUUUCUCUUGCCUUGGUUGGAUAACUUGAAGAAGAAGAGAAAGUAUCACUCCUCCCCCCUCUCUCUUUCGCCAUCAAAUCUGAAUUUUAAUGAUUAAUAGAAGCGCUGUUGAGUAGGCUUUCCAGAAGCCAACACUUGUUGAUUAAAUUCCUCCAGAUUUUGGGAAUGUCACCCGAGACUGCCCAAUUUUGGGCCACUCGGGCACGCGCCCUGACCCACCAAACAGACAAGACCUUCCCUGCUCAAAUGAAGCGGUAACAUAUAUCAACCUAUACAUUCAUACAUGAUAGGUGUACAAGCAAUAUUAGAGUGCACUAAUAAACUGAACAUUCAACUUUAAACAUAUAAAGUUCUACAACUACUUGAAACAUUGAACUAAAUGAAGUUUCAUUAAGUUUACAUCAUUUUAUUCCCAAAAUAUUAUAAGUCUCUUUCUUGUUACAAAAAGGGGUACAUUAGACCUCGCUAGGUCCUCUACUCCGUGACGCUCUUGCCGCGGUCACGUACCUCGUUGGUGGUGCUAGGAUCUGAAAAGGAGUAAACCACAUGGAGUAAGAUGGAACCUGCAAUGUGUGUGUAAACCCUUAAAAUUUGAAGAAAAAAUGUUCAAUUUGAUGAACCCUUUUGCUUCUAUCUUCAGUGGAAAAAAUAAAGGAGAUAAAAAAAGAUAAAAGAAAAUAAUUUUUAUCUCGUGUUUUUUGGACAAUUGGAAGAAAGGAAGAGAAAAUAACAUUUGCUCCCUUUCUCUCAACUUUCGGAGAUAAAAUGCUGAAGUAUCACCGAAAACAUAUUAAGCAACCUCAAAGAUACUCUGAAUUACUCUGGUUGAUGUUAAAUCUUUUUGGUUAUUAUUCUUGCUCCUUAUCUAGGGUUUGUUUGGUAUGAGGGUUAUUUUAAUCUAUUGGACAAAAAGGAGUUGGAGAAAAAGCAAUGUGCUUCUGCCUUUUCUAGUGGGAUUGUAGAAAUUAUAUCCUAAUUGAAUCAUUGUGAUCUAUACAACGUAAUAUUUAUCGUAGCAGCAAGCGGAAUAUUUUUCUAUUGCACUUUCUCACCAUAUAGAACAAAUCCUUUUCGCAAUCCUAAAUGGAGCCUAAGGCUUUCUCGAUCUAAAACUAGCAGAUUGCCAAGUUGGUUGGUACUGUAGCCUUGGACCACUAUAUACUAUCAUACCACUUGCCAAUGCAUGAUGAACAUGAAAAGGCUCUUUAUUGGCACAUCCAUGCACCGCAAGUAAAUCUAUGAUCUAAGUCUUAAGUAGGAUAUAUAGAAGUGGACCAAUUAUAGACAGAUGAUGUGGGGUUCUCGUCUCAAGAUUUUCCAUGCUCCUUGUGCGCUACUAUGAACAUUUACAAAGCUUCUAGCUCUGAAAUGAUGUCUAAUAUUAUAACAUUUGCAUUAAAGUUUGUAUCCUCUUGAUCAUCAAUAUUCCUCAAUAUCCUUCUGAAAAAAACUAAAAAUUUCACUAAAGUGCAGGGAGAUACUCAGAUUCUGGAAAUUGAAGGACCGUGAGUCCUCUAUAGUGGAUUGUUUGUUUCUGUUAGAUGGUGGCGAGGCUUCUGGAGGACUCGAUGAUUAUUCAAAUUCUGUUGUGUACACAAAUCCUACUGUUAUGAAGAAACUUUCUGGAAUGCAAUCUGUUGACUCGACUGAAGCAAUUGCUGUUAUGAAGAUGCCUAAGAGCUUCUAUGACCUCGAAAGUGAUCGAGAAGAAAUGGCCUUUCUUAGCUCGUUCAAUUCUCCUUAUCGUAUCUUAGUCCUCGAUGGAAUUCAGGUGCAAAUCAUAAGAGUAUCGCUGGAAUAGUUUCAGCCUACCACAAUAUAUUUAUUUUGCUGAUUAAUCUGUAGAAGUAAUUGCAAGAGCUAUGUAGCAAGAAAUAUAAUGUUUUCUCCGAAUGUUUUGAUGCAUGAGAACUCUUCCAAUCAAUAUAUGUAGUAAAGCAAAGGUGUCCUAGCCUUUUUCUCUCCUGAAAGGUAUUUGAAAAUUAAUAUGCUGUUUUAUUCAUGCAACUCAUCUCUAAUAUUACUAGCUCUUUUUUUUCCAAUUUUAUUUAGCAUAAAUUGGUCAGGAGAAGGCUGCAGCGAAAUUUCAUUCUUGUCAGCCUGUAAUGCCCCAAUCUUGAAAUCUAGUGAUUCUUCUUCUUCUUUGCCGAAAGUCAUAAUCACGAGCUCAAUUACUAUUAUUCUCCUUGUGUUUGCCAUUAAUCUUGAGUCUGCUUUCAAAUUAUGCAUUUUAUAUAUUUAAAUUUUAGCAACAUUAAUAUAUUGCAUAAUUUAUUUGCAGGACCCUGGCAAUCUUGGCACAUUGAUACGAACAGCUUGUGCUUUCAAUUGGGUAUAAUAUUCACUUCCUAGUUUCUCCUCGUUUAGACUGAAUUUUUUAAAUAUGUAAGUUGACUUAAAUAUGUAUAUGUAAGCAUUCAACAUCAUGGAUGCUUUUGUUUUCCCCCUUCAAACAACUGAUUUUCACAUAAAAUACUAUUUUUUGUUUCAAAAUUCUUGAAAAAAUCUCGAAUCCUUCACAAUAUUUUUUUAUCUUUCCACAAUUUACAGUAGGCCGGUAAAAAGUUACUAACAACAUGUUUCAAUCUUUACCGCCGGAAGAAACGUAGUUAUUAGAAGUUUGUCAAUUAUUACAUAAGAUCUUGCUAAAAGUUUCUUACUGCCCGGAGAUAAGAAUUUCACCAUCAUUUGUUUGCAAUGUUCUCUCAGUAAUUGUCUUCUCUAUGGUUCCCUAGCAUUCUUCUUCAGGUUUAAAUUAACUCAGUUUUCCAAAUGUCAUGCAGGAUGGCAUCUAUCUUCUUCCUGGUUGCUGUGAUCCUUUUAAUGAGAAAGCUCUUCGAGCAGCUCGUGGAGCCUCUUUUCAGCUCCCUAUUGUCUCUGGCAACUGGUCUCAUCUAAUGACUUUAAAAACCGAAUUUGAUAUGAAGAUGUUGGCAGGUCAUCCGGAAAAUAAUGAUGAUGGUUCUAAGAGUAUUUCCCUGCUAUCUCAAGAACUAGCAGAUACAUUUGCCGGUAAGCCUCUGUGCUUGGUUUUAGGCAGUGAGGGCAACGGCCUGUCCAAAGAAACCUUAGAAAACUGUGAUCUAGUCAGCAUUCCUAUGGAAGGUAUGUUCGAAUCGCUUAAUGUUUCAGUUGCCGGUGGCAUCUUCUUGUUUAUGUUACGGCCUGUACAUGAAAGAUAGUACAUUUAAUGAGUUUUGAAUUUCUCUUUCCAUAUCUUAAUUUGUUUAUAAAGGCCUACUGAUUAUAUGUUCUACAUGUUACUUGUUAGUAAGGAAAUUUAUUUCACAGAAUAUCGAAAGAAAUUUGUGCUUAAAUCGUUGGAUUACGCUGUAUUGUGUAUAAACAGCGAAUCCAAAUUCAAGCCAUGAGGAACUAGUAUGAAGCAGAUUAGAUUAUGCCAAUAUAAUUUUAGGUUGUAGAAUCUGCUCAUUUAUUUCCGUGCUGUUAUGCGACAAUGGUAUUGGAAGUAAAACCACACUUUAGUUCUAUCUUUAGUUUAACUAGUUAGAAGUUCAAUUGAUUCUUAACCUAUAAGAAAGUUCCGUUUCUAUUAUCCACAUCAAUUUAUUUCCGAGUAAACAAUACAAUAUGCUGAUACCUGCACUUAUUGUUAACCAAUAACAUAUAUCCAUCUUAGAAGAGCUAUAUUAUGAGUAGUAACAAGUUAAAGGCCCAUCUCAUUACUAGUACUAACAGACUAGUUGGGUUAUACGUAUUGCAUUAAAGCUGCGCUCAAAAUAUGCUAACAUGCUCAAUAUGGGGGCCAGUUAGUCGUGCAUAUCAUGUGUUAACCCAUUCUAAGCCUACAUACAUUCGAUUUACCAUAUAGAUGUGUAUUGGGAGGAGAUUAGGGACCUGUGAAUGUUCUCGAUGAGAACGUUGGGUUUUCAACUGUGGGAGUAUAUCGUGGCCUAAAUAGUCGCACAUUAGAAUAUGAUCGGAAUAUGCUUAGCUAUUGAGGGACUAGAAAGCUAUAACUGGUAACCUUCUUUUAGAUUUUCCACCACACGAGUAGCAUCUUGUUUACCUCUGUCGCUAUUACUAACGUACUAGUUAAGUUUUACACUCUAUCCUGCUUUCCAUGCUCUUCAUUCUGACCACAAAUCCAUUAUCCGCCGGCUCCGCCAUCAUUUUCUACUGCCACUAUGCAGGCUCAAUCAUCUUUGUAAUGCAUGUUUCACAUGCCUCAUCUUCUAGGAAUGCUGACAUAAUGAUACAUUAUUGUUUAGAAUUUAGGAUUAAGACCUUUGAUAGUGUCAUAAACACGCGACAACAAACCAAAAUCAAUAGGCUGUAAAAGUAUAUCUUUCAAACCACUUAGAUAAAAGCCUAUCUAACUGAUGAAGUCAAUUGAUUUUGAUGGUUUCGUUUUACUUGCAUCGAUAAUUUAGUCCCUUUCAAAUUAGAACCCCGUCAAACAAGUGCAUACAUAAAAGGUAGGAAGAUUAGGUAUUUUCUUUUGCUAUUCUGCUUGGUUGAGUUGAACUAUAGUCAACAAGAAAACAAAUAUCAUAAGAAGUGGGUCUCAGAUACUCGGAACCACGUGUUUUCUCGGUACGAAACUUCCGGAGUUAGUGGCUGUUAGAUAAGAUGAAGAUUCUCAUGCACAUGAAUCAUUUGUGGGAAUUGUUGGCGAGGCUUUCAUGUCGGUUGUCUCUUAAAACAUCAUGAAUAAUAGCUGCAGAAGAAAUGUAACAUUUUAAGUUUUGAUGUUUCCAUGAUUAGUAAUUAUCAGUGCUUACUAGAAUAGCAUGAAUUGAAGGGCUUUUCUCGUUUUGUGCUUGGUGUUGAAGUAUGGACCUAUAAAAUGAAAUUUGUCAAAAAAAAUGGAAACAUUGAGAUAAGUAUGGAGAUCCUAAGGGUUCAUGAGAUAAAUAUGGAGAUUUUGAAAAUAAAAGAUAUGGUGAUAUGAUGCUAAAAAAAGUAAAAAAUGGUUUUACAUGGAACUUCCAAGCUUUUUAUGGUUUAAGAUAAGGUGUUAGUGGUGCACUUGUACUCUUACUUUAAUUUCUUGGUGGUUUUCUGAUCUAUAUAUUCCACUUUUGGUGAUGAUUCAUGAACUUCAUGUUUUUCAGUUUUUUUUUUUUUUUUUUUUGUUUAAAAUGAAAAGAAUGGCACAAUUAGUGUGCUUUUUAGCAUCACUCACAUUCUAUCUUUGUUUUUUUUCCCUUUAAUUAGCAACUUAUCUAUUUUCAAAAGAAUAAAGAAACAAAAAGUUACUAUUGAAUUUUGUUUCUUUUUUUUUUCCUAAACAAAACAACAAAUGUAAAUAGAGAAUUUUGCGAAUCAUCCAGCAAAGUAAAUUUGUAGAAAAUGAUUUAUAAGUGACUUAACCAUGCAUCAAUAAGGGAAAAACAAAAACGCGAGCAAAAAUAUAAUUAAUUCAUAGUUCACGUGGUUUUAAAAAAGUAUAUAUAAAAAAGACAUGAGAUAGGCACAAGGCUUAAUUAGGUGCUCAAUGUAGGGCAAGUUGUUUCUUGUAUCAAGAAUUUUUCUUUUUAUUUUUCAAAAAAUGUUAAAAUGUUCUAGGACCCCUCAGCUAUUGGAUAUUUUGAAAUAGGCCCCUUACACUAUCUUUUAACUUUUGAAAUUUUUUAUUUGAGCUAUUUUGGUUAAUUAAAUAAAAAACUUUUGUUAAAUUUAAUAGUUUUACUAGCUAGUAGUUGUUAAUUAUUUUAGCUUCUAUAUGCAAAUAAAUGACUAAAUUUAUAAAUUAGAGGGAAUUAUUAAUGAAUUUGAUAAAGUUUUUUAUGUGAUCGACUAAAAUCAUUCGAAUGGUUGAAAUUAAAAGUUUUAGGAAAUAUGAGUAAAAUAAAUGAAGUCAUGGGGCCAUUUUAAAAUGAAUUAUAGUUCAAAGGGUCUUCAUACACUUUUACCAUAUAUAUGUUUCUGUUUAUUGCUUGCUUGAUCCUUUGUUGCAUUUAGUGCGGGCAAUUCAGCUUGCUAUUCGCGAGCCAGCUCGUAUUCAGCUCGAAAUGAGCUUGAGAUUGAUUACUCAUUUAAUAAACGUGUCAAACAUGAGCUAAUAUUUUCAGCUCGAAAUCUUAACGAGCUGAGAUCAGCUCGCUCGUGUUCAGAUCGCUCUUAGGGACCGUUUGGUUGCAUGUAGUUGCAACUGUACGGCAGUUGUAACUGUAUGGAAAUACAAAUUCUAUAUUUGAUUUGAUGUAUUUAACUCCAAUUGCUGCAGUAGGAACUGUAAGAAGAGGUCCAACUGUAGCAGUUGAAGAGAAUAACUUUAAACAAAAAGUAAGCUUACCUCCUUACUUAUUUUUUAAACAAAAAAUAAAUUUUUUUACAGCGAAGAUAAUCUUACCAUCAUAUAUAUAAAAUGAUAAAAUUUUAAAAGUCAUUUCUCAACUGCAUGUAACAAAAUAAAUUAUUUCUAGUUGCAGAACUUUCUACUACAUCGAAUCAAACAAGAUACAUAAAGUUGCUACAGACUAUAUUUCUAAUUACAUGCGUUUUUACUGUAAUUAUAUCUAACCAAACGGCCCCUCAGUUGCCUUACAACUUGUAUAACUUGCAUGUAGAUGAGCCCACACUACUAAAUAGAAGGGUGGUGUGUUAGGUUAGGUUGCCCACCUAUUUGUUUAGUUAGAUAUAUAGAGGUGAUUAAAAUACACCAAAGCAACCAAGCCAAUAUAAAGUGGCCACCAAGCAAGAAGAAACAAUGGAAGGGGUUUGUUGGUUUCACUGAUGGUUAUGGAAUUUGGCCAGUAGGAUCAUUCAAGCUGCUGUAGAAAGUGCCAUCUCAUGUCCUUUUUUUCUUUUUUUCUUUUUUUUUUAAAGUUGUCUUCACGUACUUUCCAGAACCCCCGGGCUCGAACCUUUAUUUUUCUGACCAAAUAUUUAUACGGAAAUUCAAAUUUUCGUCCUCAGAAAUAGUACUUCGGAUGAUAACAGAUCACUGUGGUAAGUAUGAUCUUUGGUGCUGCACAAAAUAGGACUGCCAACGGGUUGAACAUGAGCUGAUUCAGUAAAAUAUCGAGCUGAAAAAUUCAGCUCUGAUUUAUUUAUUAAUGAAUCAAAUACGGACUGAAGUAUGAAUAAUAAGUUAGAUUGUCAGACCUAUUUGCUACUGGAUGAAAUGCUUAAAAAUAUUAAAAUAUUAGAAUCUCAAUCCAAUAAUUAAAAUUCAUAAAAUAUAUGUGUCUUUAUAUUUGGAUUGACCUAAAAUCCAAAUAGUAGUAAAAUUUGUAAUAUAUAUAUAUAUAUUCAAGUAGCAAGCUAGAUUCUAACUUGUGUUCGGCUCGUUAAGAUUUCGAGCUAAAAAAUUGAGCUCGCGUUUAACUUGUUUAUUAAAAGAAUAAUCGAUCUCAAGCUCAUUUCUAGCUGAAUAAGAGUUGGUUCACAAAGAGCGAAUAUGAUUAUCAGCCCUAGUGCAAAGUAACAGAGAGAGGCUAGAUCACACCUAAAAUUUUUACUCAUUCUACACGCGCAGCGCGCGUGCUACAUCAGUUUUACCAUAGGUGAAUGAGAGGGGUUCCUUAGUUGUGUAAAUUUUAGUAAAGAGUGAUAUAGUGAAUACCUUCAUUGGAAUAUCUUUAUCUUUUUGGGGCAAAAUCUGAUAAAAUUUGGACUGGGAAUAACUUAAGAUCCACAGUAACAUAUUCAAAUUGUCUUUGGGGUCAGCUUUUGGUCUAAAGUUGAUUCAAAAUUAAUCUGCUAGACUUUGAUUUUCCAUUCGAAUUUCAUGUCAAAUUUAGCUUGAAAUGUGGUCAAAAUCCAUUAGAUCUAAUCCCAUUCAUUAGUGUCCUUUUAUUGAUUUUUUUUUCUUUAAUUUUCUUGGAAAUGGAAGUAGAAAUAUCCAUUUUGGCUUCCUUGAAAUUAGACCCAAUGAUGUCACAAGCUAAGAAUGGAAGUAGAAAUAGUGUAGGUCAAUUUGCAUAAAAAAAUCUAUUAAUUUUAUUUUUUUGUAAAAUUGAAGUUUUUUUUGGAAUUUAGAUUUUUAGAAAUCUAGCCAAAAUAUUUUUAUUUCUCUCUCGCCCCACCACCGUCCCAACCAACUGUUCAAUCAUUAAAAUUAAAAUGUUAAUGAUUUGACAAAGUUAACAUCUUUUUAAAAUAUUUUGUCUUAUUUAUUUUUCAAUUUUAUCCAUUUUUUUAAGAUCACACGAUUAUUUAUAAAAUAAGUAUUUUAACAAAAUUAUUAAAUUUGACUUCAAAUUAUCACCAAUUUAGAGAUCUUGAUGUAGCCAAUUUAGCGUUUGAGUUCCUGAAAAAGUGCGACUUAAUCAAGAUGAGCUGAAAAUUUUAUUAAGUCUGGUAAUUUUUACAAUCGGUAUGAGAAACAUUUUAAACGGUCAUAAUUUUUCGCUAAUAAGUGUCUAAAUUUCAGCUGCAACUUUAAUUCAGAAAAUACUUUUUAAAAUUUACACAUCAAAGAGGGAAGCCAUUCCGGUCAAGUUUGAGACCUAAAUUCAAGUGUUUAGGCCGUCAUUUUUUGCAUUUUUAUGUUAUUUUUGAAAAAUUAUGUAUUUUUUUUUUUAUUUUGAGUCUGAUUAUUUGAUUAUUUCUGAUCGGAUUAGGUGUAGAGAUGUAUUAGAAUUUAUUAUCUUCGUUUAUAAGAGAAUUCGGAUAUGGACCCUAUAAAAAGAUGUAGCUUUCAGUUAAUAUAAUUAAAUUUUUAGAGUCAAAUAAUAAUGUAUUUCGUCGUUGUCGAUGAAUUGAUUCUUCGUAUGUUUCUCCUUUUUCAUUCUUGUUUUUUUUUUUUUUUUUCUGUCUUAGGCCUGCGUCAGAUCUUAUUUUAAAUUGGAUGCGCAAAAACGUAGUCCUCCAUGCUGACAAAAGCACUCAAAUUCAAUUCUUUCUUUUAUGCAUGAAACAAUCCAUGCUCACCAAAAGCAAAAGUUCAACUCUUUCUAUCCCAUUUGUAAACAAUAUUAUCAUUGGCUUUUUUCAAACAAUAUAAAACAGUGUCUUUAAUUUGCUAUUAUUUUAAUUAUUACAUCUUUGGGUUAAUUUUGUACUGAUCUCUACAAAUACAGUAAAUGAUAAAUAUAUUUUUACAAGAUUUAAUUUUCAUAUGUCGUCUGUCUCUAUAAAAGUUCUAAUAUUUUCAAAUAUGACUCUUUAGUUUGUUACCGCUAAAGAAUCAUUUAUAUUUUCAAUUUUGUCAUCAUAAAUAUGUCCCUUUAAAAAAUAUAACAAUAUAAUAUAAGAAGAAUAAAAAUAUAAAAAACUAACAAAGAUUAAAUAUUUAAUCUAUGGUUAACUAAAUUUUUCUAACGGAUUCUAACGACAGGAAUAUAUUUGAAAAUAUCAGAAUUUUUGCAUGGACAAUAAAUGAAAGAUGAUCUUUGUAAGCAGAGCGGCAUAAAAUUAACCCUUUAUCUUUUUAACUUUUUUUUAAAAAAAAUAAUCUAAAACCAAUUCUGCGUCCAGCACAAGUUGAGCAGUCGCUGAUUUAUUUCCGCGUUAGCAAUUGCUGCUGCUGCGUCGUGUUCCCAUUAAUUUAAUUUAAUUUAAUCAAUCAUAUGCUUAGUGCAUGAUGCGGAUUAAGACACUAGAGUUCAAAUUUUAUAUAAAAUUAAUCCUUUUUAAAAAAAUUGUAUUUGUUCAAUGAGGUGAGAGACACGUCUUAUAUUUUCUCUUUGAUUGGGAUCACCCAAUCAAGGAGAGUUUUGACUUCAAGUAAAAAACCUCUCCAAUUUUGGCAAGUUUGGUUGUUAAAAUAAAUUAUCUAAUACUAGCUAGUUCUUUUUUUUUUUUUUUUUUUGGGGAAAACUUUAAAAAACUCCAGUGGUUUCGUAGUUUUUCACUUUGUCCCCCUGUGGUUUAAAUGUAUCAAUUUGCCUCCCUGUGGUUUCUUUUUUCUCUUUUUUCUUAUCAAUUUUUUUUUUUAUCUAUCCAGUGAUAAAGUUAAUUUAAAGGGUACCAAAGUAAAUAUUUGAUAAAUUUAAAUGGGUAUUUAAAGUUUUUUGUAUAUAAUUUAAUAAAAUAUUAACGAAAAAACUACCGAAAAAAUAAAAAUGAAACCACAUUGAGGCAAUUAGAAACAUUUUAAACCACAAGGGGAUAAAGUGCGAAACUAUGAAACUACAGGGGAGUUUUUGAAGUUUUUUCUUUUUUUUUUCCUACGAUUAUAAGGUGCCGAUCCAAUUAUACACAUAGUAAUGGUAACGAUUCAAUCCACUUGUAUUAAUAAGUCGUUUAAAAUUAAAUCAAUGGCCAAAAUUAUAUAAUCUUAUUUAUAAAUUAUUAAUGUGAUAGCCGAGUGUACCACUUCCAUACUCUUCUUCUCUUCCGGAUGAUUUAAUGUGGAAUGUAGUAAGAUGUCACAAAAAAUAAAAAAUGAGCUAAAAAUUUUCCAAAAUUUUAGGCCCUCCCAUUUAAUACUUAAUAAAGUGUGCCGCCCCAGUUUUUCAAAUGAUCACUCAUUUUAGGAUUAUUCUAGUGUUAACGCGCUUAACUCUCUUAAUCUUUUGAAAUUAGUCACUGUCCAAAAUAUUAUAGCCGGUUUAAAAAUUUUAGCUCUAUUAUAUCUAUGCUAUAGCUGGGUUAAGAGUUAUAGCACUAUCUGGGAUCUCAUACUUUCUUCUUUUUUAAGUUCUGACGUUCUCGAUCGUCGGGCUCAGAUUCACAAAUACUAAACGAUGCGAGACUUGUCUCGCCAGCUUUAAGUGAUGUUGUGGAGAAGCCGCACUCUUCAUACAACCGUCAUCGGUAUAAGAGUCUCGCUCUUCCCACUAUAUAAUUUGGCUCAGUCGAGACUCAUCUUACAUUUCCGGCUAGUAAUUGGUUCUGAUACCAACUGUGGCCACCCAACUUCUCAGGAGGUCACCUAUUUUAGGACUACUCUAGCACUAAUACGCUUAAUUCUCUUAACCUCUUGGACCUAGUCACCGUCCAAAAUAUUAUAAUCGGGUUAAGAAUUUUAGCCUUAUUAUAUAUUAUAUUAUAUAUUAUAUAUA